rnacentral:lncRNA from 1 species
AGGGAAAGACUUUGUGGAUUUCCUCCUUAGCCUGCUUGCUUUGCCUCUGGGUACCGUCAUUCUGCUCCUCACAAAAUCAACAACGAUUGGCUGCAUAUCAAGUCUUUACGGGAGCUUUGAAAAGCUAGAUGAAUCGUACCUGCAGCCUAACCAAAACAAGGAUUCCAUUUUGAAACCAACUAUAACAACCCAGGUCACCGAUCCAAAUUUCUUGCUUCCUGACACUAAAAAGCCUGAAAACCGGAAGUUAUACUAUUGCUCAAGCCAUCCAGGGUACGUGUCAGAUAUUCAAAACUCUGUUUGCAGUUAUUGCAGAUCUGGUACUACUCGAUAUAUGAAUCAAGAAGUCAAGUUCGUUGGCACGAAUGUCUCCGCCUCCACAGAUACACCGGCUAGUGAUCAGGCCGGAGGUUACGUGAAGGGCCUGGUCACUUACAUGGUGACAGGUGAUUUGUCCGUCUCUCCAAUGUCAAUGGUGUCCGGUGUUGGUCUGCUAAACAAGUUCGGUAUCAAGGAUUUUAGUGUGCUUGAGGAGAAAGUUGUUGAACUUGGGAUCAACGAGGUACUGCUUGUUUUGAACUCUGUCUUGUAUUGUUCGUUGUAGUUUUUUCUUGUUGUCUAACGAUAGUUUAUACUACGUCUAUGCUGCUUUCUGUGUCCCUUGUUCUUUUAUAAUUUUCAGGGUCUUGAAUUGUUGAAAGCUUCUCUUUUGUCGAAGGAUGCUCUCACUGCUGUUUUCCUUCCAAAGCUGAAUUAAGGACAGAGAUGACGAGCCAGUAUCGAAAUAGAAAAAAAAGGAGUUGAUGCGCGUUCUUCAAUUUCUAAAUUUACUAUGUCUGUGAGGAAGUAAUGAGAAAAUAAGUUGGAGAACUUUAGUUUUGUUGUUGGACUGCAAUGAUGAUCAUUCAUCUUCCUUUUGAAUAUGCCUGACCUUUUCAUUUGUUUUUCUUUGUUGCUUUAUUAUGCUUGUCUUCUUUCAUUUAUCUUUCACUGUUGCUUUAUUUUGAAUUUUGUGAAAUGAGGAUGCGAUGGAAUGAAUAGUUUCCCCUCCUCAUCUACAUUUCUUUGUAUUAUACCAAAUCAAGAUUUUUAUAUUAUAAAUCAGAAAUGGUUAUCUUGACUUGUUUGCUUUGCCUCCAGCACAAAUUCCAACUUUCUUCUCCUUUCCUCUUCAAAUUUCUUGCUUCUCUUUCUCCGAGAAUUUGAUCUCUUGUUUUCCCCUAACGCCGAUAAAGUUUAUGUGUUUUUUCCUUCACCUAAGAUGAUUCAGUUUUUUUCGCAACCAUACCAAAUUCUGGCACAAACACUGUAGCUUUCUUUGAGCAUGCCAAGCAUCAAGUUUCAUAUUCCACUUGAUUGUGAAUAAAUUUGCCAUCGUCUUGAGCUCAAUUAGCUAUGAUCCUGCAGGUCUAUAAUUGCAAAAAUAAAAGCAUCCUUUUCUUUUCUCAUAAACUUAUGUUAGGACCGUCGAUUUUUGCCCGAGUUACCUAUGUCCACAAAAAGAAUAACAAAGCUUGAGAUGUUUUUAGGAGCUGCGUUUUUCAAAUGGUAUUUUAUAUAUAUAAAAAAUGUUUUAAAUUUUUUAUAUAUAAUUUUUGGUUGUUUUUAUAUAUAAUUUUUGUUCGUUUUUAUUUAUUGAUAUAAAAAAUAAUUUAUAUAAAAUAAAAAAUAUAUAUUGUCUGCUACAUAAAUAAUAUAUAUUUCUAGAGUCAUGACAGUAGCAAACAAGAUGAGAGCCCAUGGAGAAGAGAUGAGAGAUGUGAAAAUUAUAGAGAAAAUUCUUCGCACCCUCACAGAAAAAUUCAACUAUAUUGUCUACUGCAUAGAAGAGUUAAAAGACAUUGACAGAUUUAUGUGGAUGAACUUCAAAGCUCAUUAAUUGUGCAUUAGCAGAAGUUUCAGAAAAAUCACGAUAAAGAACAAGUCUUGAAAGUUACCUUGUAAGAAGGAAAAGGCAGAAGACGAGGCAGGAUUACUUAUAAGGGUAAUGGAAGAGGAAGCGGUAGCAGUAGCAACAAUUUAAUUUCCCUCCUUUAUGACUUCUCCUUCCUUACUAUUGGUAAGCAUAUUAUAAAUGGUUAGGUCAUGCACAAUGCUACUUACUUUACAAGUUAAUUUCCUUUUUCUCUAAAUUACUGUAAAAAAUAUCUAUUUUGGUACGUACACAGGAAAACCUUGCAAACCCAUGAAAAGUAAAUAGAAUAUGAAUGUUAAAAAAAAAAAUAGUCAGACUAAGAUAUAUUUUCUUGCUUAAAGAGAUAAAAAAUAAUUAAAUUGUUUUUAUAAUAAAUUAGAUUGUUUUGAAAAAAUAAAUGAAUGAAAUUAAAUAAUGCAAUAACAAAAAAUUAAAGAACGAAAAUAAACCAAUUAGUCUAUUUACAUAACAACAGUGUUGUGUCCGAAACCAUAAUUUAAAAACAUGUUCCUGCACCAAACUUAGCAUUGAAGUCUUCCUUUGGUGCAUGCAUAGCCUUGAAGUCUUCCAGGCGCUUCCAUUAAAUCCUCAUGCACUGAAGCGUCCUGAUAGAGUCUUUUCCUCUCUAUAUAUUGAUACCUUCGCUUUCAAGUCGUCAACAAAAACAAAACGAACUUGUUAGUGAUCAUCAGAGUAGCCAACAAUGGCAGCCUCCAAAAUGAGCUUGAAGCUUCUUAUUGAUUCAAAACACAACAGAGUCGUCUUUGCUGAAGCAGGGAAAGACUUUGUGGAUUUCCUCCUUAGCCUGCUUGCUUUGCCUGUGGGUACCAUCAUUCGGCUCCUCACAAAAUCAACCAUGAUUGGCUGCAUAGCAAAUCUUUACGGGAGCCUUGAAAAGCUGGAUGAAUCGUACAUGCAGCCUAACCAAAACAAGGAUUCCAUUUUGAAACCAACUGUAACAACCCAGGUCACCAAUCCAAGUUUCUUGCUUCCUGACACUAAAAUGCCUGAAAACCGGAAGUUAUACUAUUGCUCAAACCAUCCAGGGUACGUUUCGGAUAUUCAAAACUCUGUUUGUAGUCAUUGCAGGUCACAAGGCUAUACUCGUUAUAUGAAUCAAGAAGUCAAGUUUGUUGCUACGAAUGUCUCCGCCUCCACAUAUACACCAGCUAGCGAUCAGGCCGGAGGUUACGUGAAGGGCCUGGUCACCUACAUGGUGACAAAUGAUUUGUCAGUGUCUCCAAUGUCAAUGGUGUCCGUUGUUGGUCUGCUAAACAAGAUCGAAAUCAAGGAUUUUAGUGUGCUUGAGGAGAAGGUUGUUGAAUUUGGGAUCGAUGAGGUACAGUGUUUUUUUAAUUUUAUUCUGUCUUGGAUUGUUCAAUUUUAACACGGUAGUUUUUGUUGUUGUCUAACGAUAGUAUAUACUACGUCCAUGCUGCUUUUUUUGUCCCUUGUUCUUUUAUACAUUUCAGGGUCUUGAAUUGUUGAAAGCUUCUCUUUUGUCGAAGGAUGCUCUCUCUGCUGUUUUCCUUCCAAAGCUGAAUUAAGGACAGAGAUGGUGAGCCAGUAUAAUCGAAUUAGAAAAAAAGGAGUUGAUGGGCGAUCUUCAAUUUCUAAAUUUACUGUGUUUGCUCGGCAGAAAUUAGAAAUUAAGUUGGGAGAAUUCUAAUUUUGUUUUUGGAAUGAAAUCGUGAUCAUCAUAUUGCAGUUGAAUAUGCUUGACUUCUUUAUCCUUUCAUUUUCGCUCUAUUUUGAUUGUUGAGAAAUGCUAAAUUUAUUUGUCUGGGCUUUUUUUAAUGUCAAAGAUUUUAAUUAUAAAUCAGAAAUUGUUAAUCCAAAGAAAAGAUAGUAGAGACUGAUUCCUUUCAGAUGUCUUGAAUCUGCUUUUGCGACAGAUUUUAGAACCGUCAAUUGCUUUUGAUACAAGGCAUUCGUUAAUUAUGCAACACAUAAAAAUCACUAAAUUUGUGGAAAAACAUAAAGAUCAAAACAAUUAGCAGUGUCAAAAAAAGCAAACUAGAAGUAAGCAGGCGCCACACGAGUGUCUUUAGAAAUAUGAUUAUGAUCGUUUUUUAAAAUAUGUUUUAAUGUAUAAAAAAACAUCUCGCGGGAUUGAGGACAAAUCUUUUCUACAGUUCGGUCUUAGCACCAGAAAUCAAAGAGUAGAUGCCUGUUCUCGAGGUAGAAAAUGCCCCAUUUAUGCUUAAUUCGAUAUUGUUUUGUUCUGCCUUGUGUCCCUUCUUUGUCCUCUUGCCAGAGAAGAGCUUGACUGUCACAUCUCUCUAUAGUUUCAAUGACCAAAAGAAUCAGAAAAAUCAUCACUGUGCAAUUAAUGACAAGCAUGAAGCUAACCUCCCUUCAAUCAUAUUUCAUCUUCCCCUUGCAUAAGGCUCCGUCUAGCAAGUAUCAUGCUGUAUAUAUAGACAGCUCCACAAGGUAGUGGGACGUAAUAUAUUUGUCAAGAGGAGUAUGAAUCACUGAAGCAUCAAAGAAUUCGUGGAUAUCCUUCUUACUUGCUUUGCCUCCUGAGAAAUUCUACCUUGAAUGGCUGCAAUUGGAAAUCUGAAUGGGAGCAUUGAAACCUUUUUCCAUGUAAAGUAGAACUUGAUGAAAAUGUCAAUUUCAAAGACGCUUUUCAAUUGCUUCGUAAUCUGCUAAUUUUAAUGCAUUUUGCUGUAGAAUGCGGAAAACUUCAAGGAUGAAAAUAAGUGGAAAAACCAGGUAACUUUUUCUACGAAAUAAAUGGAAGUAAAAACUAUACUCUUCGUGGAAAACAGAUGCCCACAAUUUCCAAACCCAAGCUUAGUGGCUUAAUUAGACUUUAUUAUCAUUUCAUAUUUCCAAAUUUAGUCAGUACCAUAAUUUUAUUUUACCAGUAUCGUUCAUCGCAGUUAGUCAAAUACUAUAAAACUUAAAUAACUAAUAGCUGUUCGUGGGGAAUCGAACAACGGCUUGCAUGGAUGAACUAAAAUGUCUAUCAUGGGAAAUCCAGAACUUUCUUGCAUGGAUUCGACCUUCUUAUAAACUAUUUGUCAUCCCCGUGCAGUGAAAGCCUCCUGAUAGAAUCAUUUGAAGUUUUUAUUAUUAUGGAGUAAAAAGUUAUAAAUUUGAUUGUAUAAGUUUAAGUAAAGCUGAACAAAGUUUAUAUAAAAUUUUUAAAUUUUAAAUCAAUGUUUUUAAAUGUUAAAUUGAAAAAAAAAAAGAGUAAAAUUGCAAUGAUGUUGAAAUGAAAUAUGAUAGUGAAUGAUUUGAAAUAAAGCUUAAUUGAAAAGGAAAAUUGAGUGAUAAUUCUUGAAAGUCAAGAAAUGGCCAUCCUAAACAAAUGAUAGCUGCACGCCACGCGCUUAGCUUCUGCCAUGUUGAGCACCGUCCAUAAAAAAGGUUAAUGGCCACCGUUGGAUGUAGCCAUAAGAAACAAACACUUUAGGACAAGAAAAAAAAGGUCCCUCCUUUAUGACAUCUCCUUCCUUACUAUUGGUAAGCAUAUUAUAAUGGCGGGGUCAUGCAGAAUCCACUUUACAUGUUAAUUUCCUUUUUCUCAAAAUUACUGUAAAAAAACAUCUAUUUUGGUACGUACACAGGAAAACCUUGCAAACCCAUGAAAAGUAAAUAGAAUAUGUAUGUUAUAAUUUUGUUUCACAAUAUGUUUUUUUUUUAAAAAAGAAAAAUAGUCAGGCUAAGAUAUAUUUUCCUUAGUAUGCGACGCCAAUAAAUUUUGGUGCAGGGUCAACAAAAUUGGUGUUGGGUGAGCAAAAAAAUUAACCUGUAACCUAUUUUUCUUAGUUAGAUUAUGAACUUAUUUUUUUUAGUGAGCAACAUCAUUUUUUCAUAGAUCAACAUCGAGUUCUGUUAAAAAAACUAAGAAAAAAUACAUGUAAAAACCACGUGAUUUGCUUGCUUAAAGAGUAAAAAAUAAUUAAAUUGUUUUUAUAAUAAAUUAGAUUGUUUUGAAAAAAUAAAUGAAUGAAAUUAAAUAAUGCAAUGACAAAAAAUUAAAGGACGAAAAUAAACCCAACAAAUUCCACGUCUCAUUAGCAUCGACUUGACAAGAAGUUCUUAUCACUUUAACCAAUUAGCCUAUUUACAUAACAACAGUGUUGUGACCGAAACCAUAAUUUAAAAACAUGUUCCUGCACCAUACUUAGCAUUGAAACCUUCCAGGUGCUUAUCCUCUUGCACUGAAGCCUCCUGAUAGAGUCUUUUCCUCUCUAUUUAUUGAAACCUUAAUUUGCUUUCAAGUCGUCAACAAAAACAAAACCAGCUUGUUAGUGAUCAUUAAAGUAGCUAACAAUGGCAGCCUCCAAAAUGAGCUUGAAGCUUCUUAUUGAUUCAAAACACAACAGAGUCGUCUUUGCUGAAGCAGGGAAAGACUUUGUCGAUUUCCUCCUUAGCCUGCUUGCUUUGCCUCUGGGUACCGUCAUUCGGCUCCUCACAAAAUCAACAACGAUUGGCUGCAUAUCAAGUCUUUAUGGGAGCCUUGAAAAGCUGGAUGAAUCGUACCUGCAGCCUAACCUAAACAAGGAUUCCAUUUUGAAACCAACUAUAGCAACCCAGGUCACCAAUCGAAAUUUCUUGCUUCCUGACACUAAAAAGCCUGAAAACCGGAAGUUAUACUAUUGCCCAAGCCAUCCAGGGUACGUGUCAGAUAUUAAGAACUCUGUUUGUAGUAAUUGCAGGUCACAAGGCUUUGGCUUUGGUGCUCGUUCUAGUUAUAGUUCUAGUUCUACUGCUUCUUCUAGUUUUAGUUUUAGUCCUAGUUCUAGUUCUAGUGCUUGUUCUAGUUAUAUGAGUCAAGAAGUCAAGUUUGUUGGUACGAAUGUCUCCGCCUCCACAGAUACACCAGCUAGUGAUCAGGCCGGAGGUUACGUGAAGGGCCUGGUCAUGUACAUGGUGACAGAUGAUUUGUCAGUGUCUCCAUUGUCAAUGGUGUCCGUUGCUGGUCUGCUAAACAAGAUCGAAAUCAAGGAUUUUAGUCUGCUUCAGGAGAAGGUUGUUGAAUUUGGGAUCAAGGAGGUACUGCUUAUUUUGAACUCUGUCUUGUAUUGUUCAUUGUAGUUUUUUUUGUUGUCUAACGAUAGUUUAUAAUACGUCCAUGUGGCUUUCUCUGUGCCCGUUGUUCUUUUAUAAAUUUCAGGGUCUUGAAUUGUUGAAAGCUUCUCUUUUGUCGAAGGGUGCUCUCACUGCUGCUUUCCUUCCAAAGCUGAAUUAAGGACAGAGAUGGCGAGCCAGUAUAAUCAAAUUAGAAAAAAAGGAGUUGAUGCGCGUUCUUCAAUUUCUAAAUUUACUAUGUCUGUGAGGAAGUAAUUAGAAAAUAAGUUGGAGAACUUUAAUUUUGUUCUUGGACUGCAAUGAUGAUCAUUCGUCUUCCUUUUGAAUAUGCCUGACCUUUUCUUUGUUGCUUUAUUAUGCUUUUCUUCUUUCAUUUGUCUUUCACUGUUGCUUCAUUUUGAAUUUUGUGAAAUGAGAAUAAGAUGGAAUGAAUAGUUUCCCGUCCUCAUCUACAUUUCUUUGUAUUAUACCAAGUCAAAAUUUUUAUAUUAUAAAUCAGAAAUGGUUAUCUUGACUUGUUUGCUUUGCCUCAAGCACAAAUUCCAACUUUCUUCUCCUUUCCUCUUCAAAUUUCUUGUUUCUCUUUCUCCGAGAAUUUGAUCUCUUGUUUUCCCCUAACGCCGAUAAAGUGUGUGUUUCGGAGUGUGGUAGCGGUUGCUUUUAAAAUAGCUUUUUGUGCCGAAAUACAUGUCAAUGAUGUUUUUUCAUUUUUAAAAAAUUAUUUUUGACAUCAGCACAUCAAAAGGAUCCAAAAAAUACAAACCGCACUUAAUUUUAACAAAAAAAAAAUUCAAAAUUUUGACAAACACAGUUCAAACUCACCGCCAAAUCGUCUCUUUAAGUUUAUGUGUUUUUUCUUCCUUCACCUAAGUUUUUUUCGCAACCAUACCAAAUUCUGGCACAAACACUGUAGCUUUCUUUGAGCUUGCCAAGCAUCAAGUUUCACAAGGCCCUUUCAUAUUCCACUUGAUUGUGAAUAAAUUUGCCAUCUUCUUGAGCUCAAUUAGCUAUGAUCAUGCAGGUCUAUAAUUGCAAAAAUAAAAGCAUCCUUUUCUUUUCUCAUAAACUUAUGUUAGGACCGUCGAUUUUUGCCCGAGUUACCUAUGUCCACAAAAAGAAUAACAAAGCUUGAGAUGUUUUUUGGAGCUGCGUUUUUUCAAAUGGUAUUUUAUAUAUAUAAAAAAUGUUUUAAAUUUUUUAUAUAUAAUUUUUGGUUGUUUUUAUUUAUUGAUAUAAAAAAUAAUUUAUAUAAAAUAAAAAAUAUAUAUUAUGUGCUGCAUAAAAUAUAUAUUUCUAGAGUCAUGACGAUAACAAACAAGAUGAGAGCUCAUGGAAAAGAGAUGGGAAAUGUGAAAAUUAUAGAGAAAAUUCUUCGCACCCUCACAGAAAAAUUCAACUAUAUUGUCUGCUGCAUAGAAGAGUCAAAAGACAUUGACAAACUUUACGUGGAUGAACUUCAAAGCUCAUUAAUUGUGCAUGAGCAGAAGUUUCAGAAAAAUCAUGGUGAAGAACAAGUCUUGAAAGUUACCUUGGAAGAAGGAAAAGGCAGAGGACGAGGCAGGAUUACUUAUAAGGGUAGUGGAAGAGGAAGGGGCAGCAGUAGCAACAAUUUCAACAAAGCCACAGUUGAAUGCUAUCGAUGCCAUAGACUAGUCAUUUCCAGUAUGAGUGCCCUUCUUGGAACAAAGAAGUUAACUAUGCCAAGGAUAUUGACGAGGAAGAGGAGAUGUUAUUAAUGUUCUAUGUAGAAAAAGACAAAGCUAAAGGAAGAGAUACAUGGUUCCUUGAUUCAGGAUGCUCAAACCACAUGUGUGGAGAUAGAACCAUGUUCAGUUGGCUUGAUGAAAGUUUUCGGCAACUGGUAAGGUUAGGAAACAACACCAGAAUGAAUGUGAUGCGUAAAGGAAGUGUAAAGCUGUAUUUGAAUGGAAUAAACCUUACUGUGACUAAAGUAUAUUAUGUUCCUGAACUUAUUUUUUUUUGUUUAGAUGGUAAGAUAUGAUUUGUUCAUACUUAUUAUGCUUGUUGAAAUUAAUUUUGAUUGAGCUUCCUGGGGUGCCGGCUGUUAAAACUAGCCAUCCUUCUUUUACACCGACUGCUGGCACUCGGAUCGGGUGAGCAGACGCAUCUCAUCCAGGCAUAUGGAAUAGAGGUUAUGCAGGGUAAGUUGCUUGGAGGAGUAGCAAUCAUGGCCUUGAUCAACCACAUACUGCUUUUGCAUUUGCUUUGAUAAAUUAGUGGUGUUGACCUGGUGCCGUUUCGAUUAGGAAAUGCUGUUCUGAUGAAAACUCUGUGGAUAAGAUAAGCAACCAAAUAAUUAAGCCAUUGUCUUUGUAGUUAUCUGAUCAUUUGUCAACAAAACUUGUGAUAUUAAUCUUGUGCAAGCUGAUAAAGACCCAUGAUUAAGGUUCUGUUUGUUUUCCUGAUGGAUUGAUAGGGACUUUCAUCUCAUUUGUUCAUUUAGCCGUCUUCUUUGCCAUUACCCUUGGAGCUCGCAGAAAAUCACCCGAACCAGUUCUCGUUAAUAUCAUCAGGAAAAAACAGAGAAAAAACAGAGAAAUGAGAAGAAAUACGAGCUUAACUCAGACAGGCCAUAGUUUUUGCUGCGAAGGUCCAUGUUUUGGACAUGUGAUGUGGCCUUUUUGAUAGAUAAAAUGGACAAAAAUCCAAAAAUUGAAGGAUGUUUCAGUCCGCAAAGUUGAAUAAGAUGAAACUCGACUCUGAGUUUUUCAAUUAUGAGAAGGCACAAAGUAUAUUUACAGAAAGUACGAGGCACCCUCAAGCAUCGUCAACUUACAAAAAAUUAAAAAUUAAAAGAGCUCAGCUAUUUACCGUGUAUUGUUACAGAAACUAAGAGGCACUGUCAAGCAUCGUCAAAUGUUUACAUUUUUAUUUAUUUUAUAAAAAAUUAACCCAGCACACAGCAUAACGCGGUCACUUCUCUGGAACGAUACUAUUAUCAAUUGGAAUGUGUCUCUGUAGCAAUAAACAAGAGAUAAAUGAUGGAUACCUAGUGCCGAUUCCCGCCUCUUGUAGUGGUAUGGUAUCAUGAUUAUCAUUAUGAGUAUGAUUGGUAGGGUUUAGUAAUUAUUUUUAAAUAGUUUUUUGUAUUGAAAUAUAUGUUAAUAAUAUUUUUUUAUUUUUUAAAAAUUAUUUUUGAUAUUAGCACAUCAAAAUGAUCCAAAAAAUACAAAUUAUAUUAAAUUUUAAUUAAAAAAUUAAAAUUUUAAAAAUACGAUUUGUACCACGUUUCCAAACAAUUUCUGUAUUUUUGCAGAUUCAUACGGACAUGUUUUUUUUUUUUUUUUAUAUAUAUACUGAAGAGGCAGAUGCAUACCUACCCACAUGGAAUUUCAUGCUAUGGUUCACGUCUAUUCAUAUUUUGGAGUGGUUGUAUAGUUGCAGGUCGAGCAGGUAAAGGGUUUUAAGAAUGAGAAAAUAAUUUUCGAUGGAUAUAAGAAACAGUUAGCAAGUUUCGUUGGAUAGAAGAAUUAGAAAAAAAAAUUAAAAAUAGAUGUGUUUUAAGAAUGAGAAAAUAACUUUGGAAUUAAAAUGAAAAUGAGAAAUAAAAGUUGAGAAAGAACUUGUGAAAAAUUGUUAGCAAAAACAUCAGUUAAAAAUAAAAAAACAUUACCAUGAAACUGUAAUAAAUCUGUAAAUAAAAUAAAUGAUGAAAAAAUAUAUAUUUUUUUUGACAUAAAAAAAUAUUUUUGAGGACUUGCUAAAAUAACUUAUAUGGUUUUAGCGAUGCUUGAAUAAGAAAAUUUGGAUUUUAAUAUAAAAUCAUUUACUGACUAGUUUAUGUUAUUGAACAUAACUUUAAAUUUAACCUUUGAAUUAGUUUGAAAUUUUACAAAGAACCUCAUAACACAUUGCUUUAUAAUCGAAGUUUUGAAAAGCCAUUUAAGAAUAUUAAUAGUCGUGCAAAAAAUAACAUUUAGGUCAUUAAGUUUUUGUAAAUAAACUGGAAAAAUUAACUUUGACAGAUUAAUAUUUAAUUUUUUGUUAUAGGGUAAAAAAUUAUAAAUUUAAUUAUACAAGUUUAAGUAAAGAUUAACAAAGUUUAUAUAAAUUUUUAAAUUUUAAAUCAAUGUUUUUAAAUAUUAAAUUAAAAAAAGAGAGUAAAAUUAUGAUGAUUUUGAGAUGAAAUAUGAUGUAAAUGAUUUGAAAUAAAGCAUAAUUGAAAAGGAAAAUUGAGUGAUAAUUCUUAAAAGUUAAAGAGCAAGAAAUGGCCAUCCUAAACAAAUGAUAGCUGCUCGCCACGCACUUGGCUUCUGCCAUGUUCAGCACCGUCCAUGAAAAAGGUUAAUGGCCACCGUUGGAUGUAACCAUAAGAAACAAACACUUUAGGACUAGAAAAAAAAAGAUCCCUCCUUUAUGACAUCUCCUUCCUUACUAUUGGUAAGCAUAUUAUAAAUGGUUAGGUCAUGCACAAUGCUACUUACUUUACAAGUUAAUUUCCUUUUUCUCAAAAUUACUGUAAAAAAUAUCUAUUUUGGUACGUACACAGGAAAACCUUGCAAACCCAUGAAAAGUAAAUGGAAUAUGAAUGUUAAAAAAAAAAUUAGUCAGGCUAAGAUAUAUUUUCUUGCUUAAAGAGAUAAAAAAUAAUUAAAUUGUUUUUAUAAUAAAUUAGAUUGUUUUGAAAAAAUAAAUGAAUGAAAUUAAAUAAUGCAAUAACAAAAAAUUAAAGGGCGAAAAUAAACCAAUUAGUCUAUUUACAUAACAACAGUGUUGUGUCCGAAACCAUAAUUUAAAAACAUGUUCCUGCACCAUACUUAGCAUUGAAGUCUUCUUUUGGUGCAUGCUUAGCCUUGAAGUCUUCCAGGCGCUUCCAUUAAAUCCUCAUGCACUGAAGCCUCCUGAUAGAGUCUUUUCCUCUCUAUAUAUUGAAACCUUUGCUUUCAAGUCGCCAACAAAAACAAAACCAACUUGUUAGUGAUCAUCAAAGUAGCUAACAAUGUCAUCCUCCAAAAUGAGCUUGAAGCUUCUUAUUGAUUCAAAACACAACAGAGUCGCCUUUGCUGAAGCAGGGAAAGACUUUGUAGAUUUCCUCCUUAGCCUGCUUGCUUUGCCUGUGGGUACCGUCAUUCGGCUCCUCACAAAAUCAACCAUGAUUGGCUGCAUAGCAAAUCUUUACGAGAGCCUUGAAAAGCUGGAUGAAUCGUACAUGCAGCCUAACCAAAACAAGGAUUCCAUUUUGAAACCAACUGUAACAACCCAGGUCACCAAUCCAAGUUUCUUGCUUCCUGACACUAAAAAGCCUGAAAACCGG